UGUCAGCUGCAUACUCAAUACCUGAUGCCAUAGUUGCAACAGAAGCUCAAGCACCAUUUGGAGAAAUACUCAUUGAGGAUGCUGGAAGUUCAAAAGAUCUUAGAAAUCUUUGUCCUUCAGUGGCAGACACAAUUUUAGAAGAGCGGGUUCCAGAAUCUAGUUGGACAAAUCAUCUGGUUCCAGAUUUCCCUACCACACAAGCCAUGGCUGCUCAAGAACAUGAAAUGCCACAGAUAAGAGCUAGGCAAGAAAUGAAAACUGUAACCAUAAAGGCAACGUACAGAGAAGAUAUAAUAAGGUUCCGAAU
rnacentral:misc_RNA from 1 species